rnacentral:rRNA from 1 species
UGCAAGUCGAACGCUUCAGCAAUGAAGAGUGGCAGACGGGUGAGUAACGCGUGGGAACCUUCCCAGUGGUACGGAAUAGCCCAGGGAAACUUGGGGUAAUACCGUAUAAGCCCUUAGGGGGAAAGAUUUAUCGCCAUUGGAUGGGCCCGCGUCGGAUUAGCUUGUUGGUGAGGUAAAAGCUCACCAAGGCGACGAUCCGUAGCUGGUCUGAGAGGAUGAUCAGCCACACUGGGACUGAGACACGGCCCAGACUCCUACGGGAGGCAGCAGUGGGGAAUAUUGGACAAUGGGCGCAAGCCUGAUCCAGCCAUGCCGCGUGAGUGACGAAGGCCUUAGGGUUGUAAAACUCUUUUGGCGGGGACGAUAAUGACGGUACCCGCAGAAUAAGCUCCGGCUAACUUCGUGCCAGCAGCCGCGGUAAUACGAAGGGAGCUAGCGUUGUUCGGAAUUACUGGGCGUAAAGCGCACGUAGGCGGAUUUGUUAGUCAGGGGUGAAAUCCCGGGGCCCAACCUCGGAACUG